AUACGCACAGUGAGGCAGGCAGAGCAGACGCUCUGCUUCGUCUGUGGCAAGACAGGGGCCACCAUCACCUGCGCAGCGUUGGGCUGCGACCGCAGCUUCCAUCUCCCCUGCGCCUCGGAGGGCCAAUGUGUCACCCUGUACAUUGGAAAGUUCCGGUCCUUGUGCUGGGAGCACCGCCCGCAGCAGGCAGUGGAGGCAGCGCCGGCGCAGGACACGACCUGCAUCAUCUGCAUGGAGCCCGUGGGGGACAGCAGGUCGUACAGCACCAUGGUGUGCCCAUCCUGCCAACACGCCUGGUUCCACCGGGCCUGCAUCCAGGAACAGGCCAUGCGUGCCGGCAUCUAUUGCUUCCAGUGCCCCCUCUGCAGAGACAGGGACUGGUUUCUUCGAGACAUGGUCACUAUGGGGAUCCGAAUCCCAUUCAGGUUGGUGUCUUUCAACCAGCUCUCGAGAUGUGAGGGCACACAAGCUGUCCUUUGGAAGGAGCUGCCCCAGCAGGCCUGGCCCUUUGCAGCCAUUAACAUGGGCCUCAGCAUCAUUGGGAAGCUGGAACGGGGGUUAGGGUGGAUGAGGAG
ensembl:lncRNA